AUUUGAAAUCUCCGAUGCUUGCAUCGGCGAGUUGUAGUUGCGAGAAGCACUUUCUAGGUGGAUCGCCGGUGCCUAAGUUGCUUGGAACAGCACGUCGCAGAGGGUGACAACCCCGUCUGUGGCGCCGGCGGCCGCUGACGAUGUGCUUUCGAAGAGUCGGGUUGUUUGGGAAUGCAGCCCAAAAUGGGUGGUAAACUCCAUCUAAAGCUAAAUACUGGCGUGAGACCGAUAGCGAACAAGUACCGUGAGGGAAAGAUGAAAAGAACUUUGAAAAGAGAGUUAAAAAGUACGUGAAACCGUCGAAAGGGAAACGAAUGGACUCAGCAAUGCGCCCUCUGAGAUUCAGCCGGUGGGUGGCGUCGGCGCUGGGUUUGCGGAUCUGAAUGGACCGCGGCCUGGCGCUCGGUGUCCCCCGCCGUCGCACUUCUCUGGGGCGCGCGUCAACGUGGGUUGGGACUGGGUCUGAAAGGUGCCGGGAAGGUAGGUGUGGGCCUUCGGGUCCGUUCUGUUACAGCCCGGCUCUCUCAUGGCUCGGGCCCGACCGAGGAGUGAGACAGGGCAUGCCUCCUGUGGCUAGGGUCCCGUCCUUCCGGCCGGCUGUCCAGUGUGGUGGACUGCUUGCAGUGCUCCGCGACGGCUGCCGGUCGUUGGGGUGGUGAUCUCGUACCAUGCCCUUAGGAUGUUGGCGGUCAUAUGGGUGCAUCCGACCCGUCUUGAAACACGGACCAAGGAGUCUAACAUGUGCGCGAGUCUUAGGGUGUGUCAAACCCCGAGGCGCAAUGAAAGUGAAGGCGGCCCCGGCCGCUGAGGUGAGAUCCGCGGCCCCCUCAAAAGGGCGGCGGCGCAUCAUCGACCGACCUAUUCUACUCUUAGGAAGGUUUGAGUAAGA
rnacentral:rRNA from 1 species